AGUUAUAUAGUAUAAUGGUAAUAUAUAUACUAUUAGUAUAUUAUUUAUAUCUAUAUUUAGUAGGUAUAAAUAAUAUAUAUAUACUAGGUUAUAGGUUCAAUUUCUACUAUAACCU